rnacentral:rRNA from 1 species
GAUGAACGCUGGCGGCGUGCCUAAUACCUGCAAGUCGAGCGAACAGACUAGGAGCUUGCUCCUCUGACGUUAGCGGCGGACGGGUGAGUAACACGUGGAUAACCUACCUAUAAGACUGGGAUAACUUCGGGCAACCGGUGCUAAUACCGGAUAAUAUAUUGAAUCGCAUGGCUCAAUAGUGAAAGACGGUUUUGUUUUUCCUCAUCGAUGGAUCCGCGCCGCAUGAGCUAGUUGGUAAGGUAACGGCUUACCAAGGCAACGAUGCGUAACCGACCUGAGAGGGUGAUGGGCCACACGGGAACGGAGACACGGUCCAGCCUCCUACGGGAGGCAGCAGUAGAGAAUCUUCCGCAAUAGGCGAAAGCCUGACGGAGCAACGCCGCGUGAGUGAUGAAGGUCUUCGGAUCGUAAAACUCUGUUAUUAGGGAAGAACAAAUGUGUAAGUAACUAUGCACGGCUUGACGGUACCUGAGCAGAAAGCCACGGCUAACUACGUG